rnacentral:rRNA from 1 species
AUUCCCCUAGUAACUGCGAGUGAAGCGGGAAAAGCUCAAAUUUAAAAUCUGGCAGCCUUUGGCCGUCCGAGUUGUAAUUUAGAGAAGCGUCUUCCGCGCUGGACCGUGCACAAGUCUCCUGGAAUGGAGCGUCGUAGAGGGUGAGAAUCCCGUCUUUGGCACGGACACACCAGGGCUUUUGUGAUGCGCUCUCGAAGAGUCGAGUUGUUUGGGAAUGCAGCUCAAAAUGGGUGGUGAACUCCAUCUAAAGCUAAAUAUUGGCGAGAGACCGAUAGCGAACAAGUACCGUGAGGGAAAGAUGAAAAGCACUUUGGAAAGAGAGUGAAACAGUACGUGAAAUUGUUGAAAGGGAAACGCUUGAAGUCAGUCGCGUCUGCCGAGACUCAGCCUUGCCUCGGCUUGGUGUACUUCUCGGCCGACGGGUCAGCAUCAAUUUUGCCCCUUGGAUAAUGGUGAGGGAAAUGUGACACCUUUACGGGUGUGUUAUAGUCUCUCGUCGCAUGCAAGGGUCGGGAUUGAGGAACUCAGCACGCGCCUUUGGGCGUCGGGGUUCGCCCACGAUACGUGCUUAGGAUGUUGGCGUAAUGGCUUUAAACGACCCGUCUUGAAACACGGACCAAGGAGUCUAACAUGCCCGCGAGUGUUCGGGUGGAAAACCCGUGCGCGCAAUGAAAGUGAAAGUUGGGACCUCUGUCGUGGAGGGCACCAACGCCCGGACCAGACCUUCUGUGACGGAUCUGCGGUAGAGCGUGUAUGUUAGGACCCGAAAGAUGGUGAACUAUGCCUGAAUAGGGUGAAGCCAGAGGAAACUCUGGUGGAGGCUCGUAGCGAUUCUGACGUGCAAAUCGAUCGUCAAAUUUGGGUAUAGGGGCGAAAGAC